AUACGGAGGGUGCAAGCGUUACUCGGAAUCACUGGGCGUAAAGCGCGCGCAGGCGGCUAUUUAAGUUGGAUGUGAAAGCCUAUGGCUCAACCAUAGAACUGCAUCCAAAACUAUUUAGCUAGAGUGUGGGAGAGGAAGAUGGAAUUAGUUGUGUAGGGGUAAAAUCCGUAGAGAUAACUAGGAAUACCAAAAGCGAAGGCAAUCUUCUGGAACACUUCUGACGCUGAGGCGCGAAAGCGUGGGGAGCAAACAGGAUUAGAAACCCCAGUAGUCC
rnacentral:rRNA from 1 species